rnacentral:lncRNA from 1 species
ACGUUUGUUCUCACCUUCCAAGUUCUUUCAUGGACUUGAUUGGGUUCGGGCUACUGGGGUUCCUUGCUUCCAUGGCGUGCCCCCACACUAUAGGCACAAGAAGACCACAUUACCCUGGUGAUCAAAUCCUCCAUUGUUAUAUCAUCAUCUUUUACCUUUUUCCCUAUUCUCUCAGUCUUUUUCUUUUGGAAGAAACUUUCAUUCUUUCUUGUUUUGUUCUUUCAUUUUAGGAAGAAAAGAGCACUGACACAGUGCCACGUUAAUUUUUUUUUUAAAAUGAUGUAAUGGCAAAACAGGAAAUUACAAUUGAAUUGAAAUUUCUCUAUGUAAUGCAAGUUUUCUCUAUUGGUGGUUGUGAACAUUUUGUGUCCUAAUGGUGGUGAACAUUUUCUAUCUGCAUGAUUGUUUUGGUCGUUGGAUUUUUUAUUUAGGGUUUCACGCUUCGUUUAGGUUGGUAGGUAGUUUAGUGGAUUGUGAUAUGAUGAAGAAUUCGUAAACUCCCAGAUCAUUAUUUAAAACUUUUAAUUUGUUCGAAGGUUUUCU